rnacentral:rRNA from 1 species
UACAGAGGGCGCAAGCGUUGUUCGGAAUUACUGGGCGUAAAGGGCGCGUAGGUGGUUUUCUAAGUUGCACGUGAAAUCCCUGGGCUCAACCCAGGAACUGCGUCCAAGACUGGGAGGCUUGAAUCCGGGAGAGGGAUGCGGAAUUCCAGGUGUAGCGGUGAAAUGCGUAGAUAUCUGGAGGAACACCGGUGGCGAAGGCGGCAUCCUGGACCGGUAUUGACGCUGAGGCGCGAAAGCCAGGGGAGCAAACGGG